GCAGACAGGAGUCCAGUUCGUCUCAAAAAGCAAUUUGGAUGAGAUGAAACAAGAAAUGUCUCCAUCUGAGUCCGUUUUACCAUGCCCAAUAUGUCAGCUGAAGUUUCCUGUGGACAAUCUUGAACUGCAUGCCAGCCUUUGUGGAGAACAAAAUCUAUUCUAGAGGAUCUUCUGGAGCUGCUUGCUAGCCGAGUAAAUGCAAAAAAACACUUUCGCAUUUGUGUUUCACGGGACGAUCUCCUAGAGAGGGGGCUCAAGCAGUGGCAAAGACAAAAAAAGGAAAUCCAGUCAAC